rnacentral:lncRNA from 1 species
UCCUGUAAAAUUAGAUAUACCCGUGUUUCCCACGAUCACAGCCACUGUGACUUUUCAGGAAUUCCGAUGUGAUGAGUUUGAUGGGUCCAUCUUUGCCAUCCCUGAAGACUACAAGGAAGACCCAAGUCGUUUUCCUGACCUUUAGCUGACCCCGAAGAGCAAGAGGCUUCAGGUGGCAGGGAUGACCUUCCUUCAGCAGCGAGAACACAUCAGUGAUGUGAUGAAAAACUGACCUCUAAUGAAACAUCCACAGCUUCCUGAUGUGCCAUUCAUUCCUCUUUUUAAAGUCACUUCCUGUCUGUACUAGUUUGACACUCAGUGACCCCGAGACCUUCCUAUGUAAAGCAGCUGUGAGUGCUGUGAUUUGUUUUUAAAGAUUUUUACACUUCUUGUUGAAAUAUAUAUCAUAUGAAUAUAUCUAUAGCUAUAUCUAAAACACUCCUGGACCAUUAACGUCAAUUCCGUGUCUUAAGAGAUAUGAAGCCCUUUGAAAUGCGUCACCUC